CCAUCCGGCCAUUCCACCUGCAAAAAUACUGUACACUUUAAAUUGUUCUCAGUUUUUUUCUUUAAAUCUAUAUUUUUACUGUCAAAAAGUUGAGAUAUACGGUUUAUUUCAAAUCUAAUAAAUUCUCCUCUAAUCUUUAGCUUCUUUAAUCAUGGGUUCAUCUUUUAUUAUUUAUUUUUUGAAAUUCAUGGCUGCUAAGAUAGAUUUUUGCUUUGAAGAAUCUCUAUUUCGUAUCGACGAGGAAGAAGACGACGACGAGGAAGACCAUAAAAUUAACUCAUCGUCUCCUACUUUUCUCGCUGUCAAAGUUAUUAGAGAUUCUUUUACUGUUCAUGGAGACUCCUCUCUCUCAUCUGCUUAUGGUUUUAACCACCGCCCCGGCUGCCACCACCGUCUCUACUACAACUGCAUAUAGGGAUUCAAAGCCACACGAGUACACUUCAAUGAAGAAUUUGAAUGAAUCUAAGCAAGGCUUUUGGGGGCUCUUUUUUGAAAAACUAAAUCUUUUCUGAUGAUGAUGUUUAUGUUUCUCAAUAUUUGGAUUCACCUGCUAGACCCACUUGCAAUCCGGUUAAACGGUCAAAACUGAAUCUAGCAUUAUCAUAUUUGAGCAUUCUGAUUCAAAAAUAUGAUAUUUAUUAAGUUUUAAUCAUACUUAAGUUGCUUGUUAAUUGUGUGUGGUUUUAGUAUUGUGUUUUGGAUUUACAUUUUGUUGAACCUUGCUGCAUUUGCACAUUUUUUCUUGUCUUUUUCUAGUCGAAUUCUUACGGAUUUUCUUGGCCUAAAGAUGUCAAAGUACUUAAUUAUGGGCUGCUUUGUGAAUUAAGCUUUUGGCAUGAAGCUUCUCGACAAAAGGAAUGAAACAAGAUGAGGGAUGAUUUUUUAAUUGUAAUUUAAUUGUAUUUGUAGAAAAAUGUAGCAAUUUUUUAUUUUCUUUUUCUUUUUUCAUUUUGUACUUUUGAUUAAACAAGUAUAUAAUCAUUCUAUUAAUUAGUUGAAUUACAUUUCUACCAGAAUCAGAUUAUUUAGUUUCCUGUGAAAAGAAUGGUAUGGCAGUAGACAUUUUGCAAGUAUCUAGAAAAUUUAUAUCUCUUGGUUCAUGAUGAUUAGGUCAUUCUUUCGUGGUAGCAACAUUAAGUACCAAAUCAAGAAGAAGAAAAAGAACAAGAGCAUGAGCAGCAUUAUGUUUUAGUGUUAGUAGAAGUAGUAACCACCGGAAAGAGUAGAUUCUGCAAUUUGUAAAAUGUUCAUUACAAACUGACAUUUGUGUUAUGUGACUCAAUUCAAUACAAAUAAUGAAGACUUAUUUAAA